ensembl:lncRNA
AUGUCAAGAAAACAAGUUUCUGUCAAGGUAAUGAGAAAAACAAUUUAUAUGUCGAGAUCUGUCUCAAGAGCACAACUUUCAAUUUGUAGAGAUCUAGCAAAAAAUGGCAACAUAAGAAAAUUAAGUUGUGUCUCAAGAGAACAUCUUAUAUUGACAUCACAAGGAAAUAAAUUAAGGGGGAAAAAAUUGGUGUACAAUUUGUUUUGAAACCAUUUUCACUCAGAAACUGCGAAUACAUUUUUCAGGUAAUUAUAAAGAAACAUAUAACAUUGAAUGAAAAUUUUGAAGCCAAAAUAUUCUCAACUAAACCUUAAUCCAAUAAGCAUUCUUUUAUUUACAACUUUGAAAAAUCUUUUUUUAUAGCGUAUAUGCUUUAAUAGAUGUCACUUUUAGCAAAGUCUUAUUUCUAGUGCAUUUAUAACCUGCUGAGAGAAGAUCACAGAUGCAAAGGUCAAUGACAUGGGUUUGCAGCUGUGUAAAAAGAGGUGUUUUGUGAAAGAGUUCUGGACUUGGGCACCUAUUAUAGGCAUUAUCAUUAGUCUUGCACUACAGACUCAGUUAAACCACGCGUUUAACCCAGAGGUGUGAAGCUGAGCCAUUGAUUCUGCUUAUCUAAUAAGCUUUUUUUGUUCUAUUGAUGGGUUUUGUGUACCACCAAUAAUUUAAUUAGAGAUUAAUUUCACUGUAGAAUUUACGUGUUGGAAUAGCUUUCAGCAAUCAGAUAACAUUGGUUGAACUGGAGCAGGGUAAAACUGGGAAAGGGAGGCUAAACCAACAUGCAUACACUAUCGAGCCAAACCUCAUCAAAUUCCCCUCAGAGUUGCCCAGUCGAAUGGGUUUGUCAUUUCCCUUUCAGCAGAAACCCCCCAGCUUUCCUUCAUUACCCACAAAUAGUGCAGCUCAACCCUUAUUGAACAUUCCUAAUAGUCCUCCCACCCGGUUUCUAUCUAUAGUGCUGCUGCUGACAGGGGUUUGCAUUCCGGUUUAAUCCUGUGUUUCUGAAAGGCUGUGUGCUCCGUUAUGCUAUAAGCAGAUGCACUGAAAGUUACCCUUGCAGUAGGUGAUGGAUUAGCCAACACACAUCAUAGAAUGAUUCACCACAGAUUCGCACUUAGACAGAAAUUAUUGAUUUAAUUUAAAGGUAAUUGACAAAUAAGAGUGUCAACGAUUAAGAGAGGUAAAAAGAUGUGCCUUCUUCCUUAGUUCCUUAGGUAAUUAUUUUUUUUUUAAUUCCACCAUGAGCGUAAAAUUACAUAUUAACAAACAUUAAAAAAAUAAGUGUUUAAAAAACACGUUUUGGGGGAGUCACACCACAACAUUCAUAUUAUCCAAUAUUUUAGAGUUAUUAACCUUGUCAAACAGUCAUGAGGGUCUGCAAGGGUCCUCUAUGAUAUGUCUUGUUCCUUUUUUUUCCCCCAAGACUUUGAUUUGCCAGACAAAAGUUGUUUAAAUAUUAAUCAGCAGUAAAGCUAAAGUUAAAAAAAAAAAAAACUUUUAAAAUAAAAACUUAUCCUUAAUGGUUUUCUUUUAAUAUCUAUUAUUUUAAUGAGGCGAAAUUAUAAUUUCUCUUCACUACUUCAUUUUAGUAAAGUGGUAUUACCCUAAAUUAUUGAUUUACUGACUGACUUAUCUUCACUGCGAUUACCUUGAUUUUUGACUUUACAUUGCAUUAUGUAAUUUUUUAUUAAAUAGUAUAUUAAAUUAAAUGUGUCAUGUCAUUUAACCUAGAGGUAUUUUACAAUACCAGAAGAGAAAAAAAAAAAAAAAUACACUAAUGAAUGCAAUAGAAGUACAAUUUGAGCUCAAGAUGUCAACAAGGCUGCAUCUGUUAGUCAAUAUUAAACUGGGCCCAUCAAAGUGUCAUUUUGUACAAACAUCAAUAACAACUAGAGGUCUUCAGAACAGUUUCUCUAAUAAGUCCCUACAGAAAGAGAACAGAAUGGAUUGAUCAAUAGCCUUGAGUUGGAGGGAUUCAGAGAUCUUGAUAGGGGGAAGUUAGUCGAGGCAUUUUAAUUCAAUUGGCAUCAGUGGUGUUUACAGUGUUUUGUCCAGGAUCUCUCAUAGUGAAGAUAUCUUUAACGAAGACGAGGAUGUAAUGAAAAGCUAGUGAGAUUUCUCCAAUCAUAAAUCACAUCUGUAAGUUGUAAGCCAAGGACUACAGGCAGAUUUAAUAAGCACCGUAACUUGGGCCUAAAGAAUGAAAUAAAAAACAAAACAAAACAGCACACAGUGUUUAGAUGAUAUCUUUGAAUUUUCUCCUGCUCUUUGAUAAACAGAAGACACUUAGAAAACUUUCUUACCACAUCCAAUAGAAGUAGCAGAUGCCUGCAAAAACCUCAAUCAAUCACAUCUGAAUGUUUUAGCUCCUGCAAAACACUUCUGCAUUUACCAUGUGUGUUAGCAAAUCCGAUCAAUGAUCUCCUACACGUCUAAGUGUUGCUGAUUAAUGGUUUCAUUCGAAAGUUGCCUGAAGCUGUGGAGCGCAGUUUUGGCAUCCAAGAACACACUUAUGAUAUUCAGUGUUGAAGACAGCUGAUGAAUUACAGAGUAAACUUGUGUGACUUAGCCAAGACGGCACUGCCAUUAAGGCCAACACUGAUGUCUUUAUUUACAUAAAACAAUAAACAUUUAGGUAUUUUGAGGCUGCCAGAAAUGCAGAGCGAGAUUUGGCAAGGACAUUUUUUUUUAUUAUUAUGUUUUUGAGUAUCUAUGUACUUUAGUCCUCAUAAACUGCUCAUUAGCUUGUACUUUGUUGAGACUACGUUUCCCUGAUAAGUGUGGGCAUCAAGUUUAAGCCUCAUUGAUGGUUGGCAUUAUCAUGGGACAUUCAGUGAUGUAUACAGUGACUGGAACACAAUGAAGAACAACAAUAUUGGUUUUAUCUAAGUGAAAAGGCAAAAGAACAUUUGUUGGAAACAGCUGCCUGCAGAGCUUUGAGAGAAAAAAAUAAUAAUAAUUGUAUUCAAGGGCAGCUAUUCUUUAUUGCUGGCUAUGAGCCACCUGACCUCUUGUUAAAGGAAGCCAGAGGAAGUAAACUUGUCUUUAUACUUUAAAAGAAAUCCACAGAGCAAGGUCCUGAGAAAACCCCACAAAUCAGUAUUUUUUCCACCUUGUUGCUUCAUCCUGUUGUAAUUGAUAUGUUCCUCAGAGGACUAGUGAUCCAUUUCAUAUGCAGAUAUUAUUCUUACCGCCAACACACGUCUUUCUCCAGAUGUCUCUGAGAAGGAAAGGUGACAGACGUUUGUGCAGUUACUCAUUCCUAAAUAGGCCCGAGAGGACUGGUGUCUGAAAGAAAGAUGACCUGGGUAGGUGGAUGGCUUGAAGUCUCCCAUUUAAGAUCAGGAAGGUCUGUAAAAUCGGGAAUGCUGUAGAUAUGUCUUACAUUAAAAUGGCUAAUGGGGCUUUGGUUGCAUAUAAUAAAUAAGAGUAUUUCUUUGACAUCACGAGGGCAUGCAUGAACAAAAUCAGCUUGGCUUUUUUUUGAAUUACGAUAAAGGAUAUUCUUUUGCAAUUGGCCCUGAAAGAGAAUUCUCUCUAGCCAGGUUUUUUUAUAAACCACAUGAAGAAAAUAUUUGUAAAAGAAGAAAAACUGCUCUAAUUGACUUUUUUUUUUUUUUAAACCACACUGCUGGAUUUUAGUUGAGAAAACACACUUAGAGUUAAUCUAUCCAGCCAGCUGGAUUGCUCAUUUAAGCCAGCAGGAUGGGUUACUCAAUUGACCCAGUUGGUAGCUCAUAUUGACUACAAUGCUGGGUCAAUUUUACCUCAUAAAAUGGUUAUUCUCUUUCAGAUAAAUCUGUAAAUUGGGACUAUAAAGAGCAAGAGUUAAUUGGAAUAGACCUAACUUUUU